AACGAGAAUACACCUGUCUCCUUUAAGCCCUUAAAAAUUUAUCUUUAAGUGAAGAAGCUUAAAUUCAUAUGCAGGACAAGAAGACCCUAUAGAGCUUUACCUAAAAUCUACAUAAAUAGUAGCUAGCGGUUCGGUUGGGGCGACCGGGGGACAUUCAUCACCCCCAAACUAAAAGAUAUACCUAUCCCACCAAAGAUCCUUACUCAAGAUCAAAGAAUCAAGCUACCUUAGGGAUAACAGGCUAAUCCUCUUAGAGAGCCCUUAUCGACAAGAGGGGUUGGCACCUCGAUGUUGGCUUAGGACUUCUCCAUGUCGCAGCAGACAUGGCAAGAUGGUUUGUUCAACCAUUAAA
rnacentral:rRNA from 1 species